CCUUGUUUCUUUGUGGUUGUUUCUUUUACCCAAAUUAAUUGGGGUUUUUUGAAAUACUUUCCAUGGUAAAAUUUAUAAAUUUAUUGUCGUUUGAAUAAAUUCCUAAAAUUCAUGUUAUUUUAUUUUCAUAAUUGAAUUGAUUCUUCUAUGUUGAUUUUCCCAAUUUGUUUGAUUCUUUUAUAAUUUCUUGUUGGGUGUUAAUACGAAAGUCUGUAAUUAUCAUUUUUUUUUUGAAUUCAAUACCCUGUUUAUAUCAAUUGAAUUAUGCGAUUUAAAAGAUUUACUUAUGUUAGUACUAGAAUUAAUACCUGAUUAUAAGUAGUGUUGUCAUGAUAUACUUGUGAAGAGGUUUAUUGUUCAUUUAGGUUGGUUUUGGGCUCUCUAAGCAGCUUUUGUGUCUUAACGUACAUUAGUAUUUAAAUUAAAUAACCCUAUAUGGUUGUACUAUUAUCGCAAAAUCUAACAAUGUUUGAAUAAGAAGGUCCAGUAUUGGAGUUUGGGGGGAUGUUGAUCAAUAAUUUGUUAUCUAAUUAGUGAGCUUUACAUGGAGAAACACGUUGAUACUAGUUUUGUUUUAUACCUUCUAUUGGAUAUUUGUAAUAGCAGCUCCAAAGUUGUAAAAACCUAAAAUAAUAGAGCUACCAACCUGUUUAGUAACAACCUAGAAGGUUCAGGUAGAGCCUAAGGAGAUUUCAUAACUAAAUGCAGUGCUCUUUUUCAUUUUCUGAAUGGAAGAGGAUAAGCUAGUUGAUAGAGUAUGACCAGGGGAGAGUGAGUGCGUAGUAGAUGAUUUAUACUAAGUGUUAUGUGUUUUAUUUUACCUUCAUUGAGCUAAUCACUUUCUUUGGAAUACAUAUCUUGAUGUCUAUAUGGGCUUUAAUACAAUGAGAGGGAGGGGUGUAAAGCUAAGCAUUGCUUUCCGAAUAGGUUCAUGUUUUCAGGUUGGUGAGUGAGUGUGUGUGGUAUGUGUACAAGACUGGCAGAGCUAUGCCGAUGUGUGUACAAACUACUAUGACGGCAAGAAACUUAAUGGGUGUGUAUGUGUGAGGCUUGCAGGGGCAGCAGAAACAACCAUCAGUUGUUCGACUGACCAUGUGUGCACGGGAAGAGGUAGCAUUGUACAAAAUUAUGCGGGUCUAUAAGGGUGUGAGUGAAAGACUGAUAUAGGUUGUGCGGGUCUAUAGAGGCUUGCAGUCGGAUCUCUUGCCGCAUCCGUAAAGAUUAAUAUGUCAAAGUUGGUGAUCGAGUGAGCGUGUGUGCUAUGUGUACAAAAUUGCAUCAUGAUUGUGCAAGAUUGUUUGUGGGAACUUGACAUCCUAGCAAACAAAAAUCUCUGGUUAAUAUUUCAUGAUGACUGAAAAUGAGAGGUGAGCUAAAAAUUAUGAUAAACUACGAAGUGAAGCCGUCUUAAUGAGGUAUUUUUUUUAAGACUUGUACUUUUCAUUUUUAUUAGAGGUUGUUGAACUAUUUUUAGCUUCCAGAAUUUAGAUUUUAUUGAACUGUAUGUUAGUUGAAUUAUUGUAUUGUUGGCUUCAAGUGAUAUGGAGUUUGAUUUUCAAUUUCGAUCAAACUAUUUGUAACAAAAAAAUUUUUUGUGUCAAGCCAAUUUGUUCAUCAUUAGUGCAGACUGCAGACGUGGCUUGAGAUUUGUUACUAGCAGAGGAAUAUCUCUGUUUUCUAAUGUUUUUUUUAUAUAGUUCAGAAGAUUCUCUUAGGGUGUUGCAGGCCUGCUUAACAAUGGUUUUUUGUGCUUGGCUUGGGAUAAAUUUUGGUGGUAUUCUUUGUUCAACUUCGUAACUAGGGCUUAAAGUAGGUUUGAGUGCCCGUUCUUCUCAAAGCCAAAAAUAGUUCGGACCACAACAAGAGUUUGCGUACCAGAUCGAUUAUCAGCUGCAUGACCUCACUCGUAAGUGGGGCUUUAAGUAAAAUAUGAGGGUAUGUUGCAUUUGUUGUUCAUGCUGUGUUGGUUGUGGGGUUGUAUCUUUUUUUCAUCAUGAACUGAUCAUCAAGAAGGAAGUUCGCUGAAGAGUAUCUCUGACUUCAGAGUAAUGGAAGACCACUGCGGUUUUGUUUUUUGACUAGUUUGGUUGCUUUUUUAGUUCAAUUUUUCUGUUUUUUUUUUUUGAGUUCGAUUUUUCAUUUUUUACUACAGUGCUGAUGCAGUGUUACAUCAGCUAGUCUGGGGGUUCAAAGCUGAGGUGGGCUUGUUCUGGUCAACAAUAGGGAGGUUUGUUUGGUGCUAGUUAUGGCAGCUUCUAGUUUAGCUGAAACUUGUCUUAAUCUCAGGUGCAACCGUACCAGAAGAAAAAGGGUCUUUAAAAACAAGGUGACAUUUUACAUUUAUCUUUGGUUGAUGUGUUCUGAAUCGAUUGUACUCACAAGAAAGGGACAAAGCUCCCUCCGAGAUGCCUGAUGACACAAAAGUAGGUAGUACAACAGGUUUUAAAUCAAAAUCUCGAGAUCGGGUUGUAGUUUUUGGAGGAGGAAUAAAACUUAAAGAUGUAAAGGGACUACAACCUAGUAGAGUAGAACUUCAAACUAAAUUGAAUGCUGCCAACCAAUAAAGUUCUUGCAAAUCGCCUGGAGGAAGUACAAGCUGAGAACAAUGAAAUGAAGGAACGUGUUAGCUUGGUUGAGUCUAAAAUGAAAAUGUUUCAAGAUGCAUUAGUUCAACUUAAUGUUACUACUCCAAUUUCACAAGCUGGAUCAGAAAUGCAAAAAUAGGUCGAAGCUGCUACACAUCAGUUUUAGAUAUUCGGUGGAAAUUUUCUUAUUUUUUGUUUAAGAACAAGGAAUUAUUGAGAUUUAACUCUUAGUAUAGAACAAGUUUGGUUGGUUGGUUUGGUUGUUUUGAGACUCAUUUUGAAAUUGUUUAUAAUGAAUCUUUUGUGAUGAUUAUGUUUA